ensembl:lncRNA
CAAAAUAUUUUUUGCCCAAAAAACUGUGGUAAACUAAAUGUGUAAUAAUCUCCAUGAUAUUCUAGAUAAAGGAAACCGUAAUGUUGGUUUAAUCUUUAAUACAACCCAGUACCUUACAGCCAACUCAUCACAGUCAUAUAGUCAUUGAAAGGUAUAGCUAUGGUAGGUAGGUAGGUAGGUAGGUAGGUAGAGAGAGAGAGAGGUAUAGCUAUGGUAGGUAGAGAGAGAGAGAGGUAUAGCUAUGGUAGGUAGAGAGAGAGAGGUAUAGCUAUGGUAGGUAGAGAGAGAGAGAGGUAUAGCUAUGGUAGGUAGAGAGAGAGAGAGGUAUAGCUAUGGUAGAGAGAGAGAGAGGUAUAGCUAUGGUAGAUAGAGAGAGAGAGGUAUAGCUAUGGUAGGUAGAGAGAGAGGUAUAGCUAUGGUAGGUAGGUAGAGAGAGGUGUAGCUAUGGUAGGUAGGUAGAGAGAGGUAUAGCUAUGGUAGGUAGGUAGAGAGAGGUAUAGCUAUGGUAGGUAUAGAGAGUUGUAGCUGGAGCUAAACUGCAACAUCCUGCUAAUUGACCCAUAAAGGAUCUACAAUAGAAGAAGUGAUGUUAUUGGAGCCAGAAGCAGACAGUCAGCACAGCCAGUCGGCUACAGAUCGGGACAUGCACAGCCAUUUAAUAGUUACAUUUGGUGCAUUAUAACCGUGUUCAAGUGUUAAGGUGAACCCCCCCCAUCCCCCUCACUUUGAACACAACUUCCCCUGUACUGCUGUUUGGAAGCAGGCGGAGACUCAGGGAGCAUUGAGUACACCAGGGCCUGGGUUUUGAAAACCUUAAGAAAUGUUUUGUAAAUCCAGGCACUGCAACUUUGGUAUUAGGUAAGAGAAUGGCACAAGGCUGGCUUGAGCAACGAAAGGAAACGAUGUGCAACAACUAGACAGAGACAUGUCCUGAGAAACAGUGUGUGGGCCAUCCUGCCGACUUCAACACGCAUUGUUAGCUUAGCAGACCUGGGACCAGGCAACCAGAGGCAGACCUGGGACCAGGCAACCAGAGGCAGACCUGGGACCAGGCAACCAGAGGCAGACCUGGGACCAGGCAACCAGAGGCAGACCUGGGACCAGGCAACCAGAGGCAGACCUGGGAC